GCGGGAAUUGUAAUUUGAAGGUUUCGUGGUCUGAGUCGGCCGCGCCCAAGUCCAUUGGAACAUGGCGCCUGGGAGGGUGAGAGCCCCGUAUGGCGCACGCCGACUCUUUGCACCGCGGCUCCGACGAGUCGAGUUGUUUGGGAAUGCAGCUCUAAGUGGGUGGUAAAUUCCAUCUAAAGCUAAAUAUUGGCGAGAGACCGAUAGCGAACAAGUACAGUGAUGGAAAGAUGAAAAGCACUUUGAAAAGAGAGUGAAACAGCACGUGAAAUUGUUGAAAGGGAAGGGCUUGCAAGCAGACACGGUUUUACCGGGCCAGCGUCGAAAAGGGGGGAGGAACAAGAACUCGAGAAUGUGGCGCGCACCUUCGGGCGCGCGUGUUAUAGCUCGUGUUGACGCCUCCAUCCCUUUUCGAGGCCUGCGAUUCUAGGACGCUGGCGUAAUGGUUGCAAGCCGCCCGUC
rnacentral:rRNA from 1 species